CGUAGGGUGCAAGCGUUAAUCGGAAUUACUGGGCGUAAAGCGUGCGCAGGCGGUUUUGUAAGUCUGAUGUGAAAUCCCCGGGCUCAACCUGGGAAUUGCAUUGGAGACUGCAAGGCUAGAAUCUGGCAGAGGGGGGUAGAAUUCCACGUGUAGCAGUGAAAUGCGUAGAUAUGUGGAGGAACACCGAUGGCGAAGGCAGCCCCCUGGGUCAAGAUUGACGCUCAUGCACGAAAGCGUGGGGAGCAAACAGGAUUAGAUACCCUGGUAGUCCACGCCCUAAACGAUGUCUACUAGUUGUCGGGUCUUAAUUGACUUGGUAACGCAGCUAACGCGUGAAGUAGACCGCCUGGGGAGUACGGUCGCAAGAUUA
rnacentral:rRNA from 1 species